GGGGAUUUAGCUCAGUGGUAGAGCACUUGCCUAGCAAAACGCAAGGCCCUGGGUUCGGUCCCCAGCUCCG
rfam:Rattus norvegicus chromosome 3, whole genome shotgun sequence.